rnacentral:rRNA from 1 species
CGGGGUGAGUAAUGUCUGGGAAACUGCCUGAUGGAGGGGGAUAACUGCUGGAAACGGUAGCUAAUACCGCAUAACGUCGCAAGACCAAAGAGGGGGACCUUCGGGCCUCUUGCCAUCGGAUGUGCCCAGAUGGGACUAGCUAGUAGGUGGGGUAACGGCUCACCUAGGCGACGAUCCCUAGCUGGUCUGAGAGGAUGGCCAGCCACACUGGAACUGAGACACGGUCCAG